rnacentral:rRNA from 1 species
CUACGGGCGGCUGCAGUGAGGAAUAUUGCACAAUGGAGGAAACUCUGAUGCAGCAACGCCGCGUGGAGGAUGACGCAUUUCGGUGUGUAAACUCCUUUUAUAUGUCAAGAAAAUGACGGUAGCAUAUGAAUAAGCACCGGCUAACUCCGUGCCAGCAGCCGCGGUAAUACGGAGGGUGCAAGCGUUACUCGGAAUCACUGGGCGUAAAGGACGCGUAGGCGGGUUGGAAAGUCAGGUGUGUAAAUCCUACAGCUUAACUGUAGAACUGCACUUGAAACUUCUAAUCUAGAGUAUGGGAGGGGGAGAUGGAAUUAGUGGUGUAGGGGUAAAAUCCGUAGAUAUCACUAGGAAUACCUAAAGCGAAGGCGAUCUCCUGGAACAUUACUGACGCUAAGGCGUGAAAGCGUGGGGAGCAAACAGGAUUAGAUACCCCUGUAGUC